rnacentral:rRNA from 1 species
CAGCCGCCACGGGAAUACGAAGGGUGCAAGCGUUACUCGGAAUUACUGGGCGUAAAGCGUGCGUAGGUGGUGGUUUAAGUCCGUUGUGAAAGCCCUGGGCUCAACCUGGGAAUUGCAGUGGAUACUGGGUCACUAGAGUGUGGUAGAGGAUAGUGGAAUUUCCGGUGUAGCAGUGAAAUGCGUAGAGAUCGGAAGGAACAUCUGUGGCGAAGGCGACUAUCUGGGCCAACACUGACACUGAGGCACGAAAGCGUGGGGAGCAAACAGGAUUAGAGACCCCCGUAGUCCCUGUCUCUUAUAC